CGUAGGGUGCAGGCGUUAAUCGGAAUUACUGGGCGUAAAGCGUGCGCAGGCGGUCUCUUAAGACAGGUGUCGAAAUCCCCGGGCUUAACCUGGGAACUGCGCUUGUAACUGAGAGGCUUGAGUGUGCCAGAGGGGGUGGAAUUCCACGUGUAGCAGUGAAAUGCGUAGAGAUGUGGAGGAACACCGAUGGCGAAGGCAGCCCCCUGGGGUAACACUGACGCUCAUGCACGAAAGCGUGGGUAGCAAACAGGAUUAGAUACCCUGGUAGUCCACGCCCUAAACGAUGUCAACUAGGUGUUGGGAGGGUAAAACCUUUUAGUACCGGAGCUAACGCGUGAAGUUGACCGCCUGGGGAGUACGGCCGCAAGGUUA
rnacentral:rRNA from 1 species